GAUGAACGCUGGCGGCGUGCCUAAUACAUGCAAGUCGAGCGAACAGACGAGGAGCUUGCUCCUCUGACGUUAGCGGCGGACGUGUGAGUAACACGUGGAUAACCUACCUAUAAGACUGGGAUAACUUCGGGAAACCGGAGCUAAUACCGGAUAAUAUAUUGAACCGCAUGGUUCAAUAGUGAAAGACGGUUUUGCUGUCACUUAUAGAUGGAUCCGCGCCGCAUUAGCUAGUUGGUAUGGUAACGGCUUACCAAGGCAACGAUGCGUAGCCGACCUGAGAGGGUGAUCGGCCACACUGGAACUGAGACACGGUCCAGACUCCUACGGGAGGCAGCAGUAGGGAAUCUUCCGCAAUGGGCGAAAGCCUGACGGAGCAACGCCGCGUGAGUGAUGAAGGUCUUCGGAUCGUAAAACUCUGUUAUUAGGGAAGAACAAAUGUGUAAGUAACUAUGCACGUCUUGACGGUACCUAAUCAGAAAGCCACGGCUAACUACGUG
rnacentral:rRNA from 1 species